rnacentral:misc_RNA from 1 species
AACCUAGCACACCUGCGGUGUGUACCUGCGGAAGGAUCAUUACCGAGUUUACAACUCCCAAACCCCUGUGAACAUGUUGCCUCGGCGGAUCAGCCCGCUCCCGGUAAAACGGGACGGCCCGCCAGAGGACCCCUAAACUCUGUUUCUAUAUGUAACUUCUGAGUAAAACCAUAAAUAAAUCAAAACUUUCAACAAUGGAUCU